rnacentral:tRNA from 1 species
GGCGCCGUAGCCAAGCGGUAAGGCAAGGGUCUGCAAAACCCUCAUGCGUCGGUUCGAAUCCGACCGGUGCCUCCA